rnacentral:rRNA from 1 species
AGUGAACGCUGGCGGUAGGCCUAACACAUGCAAGUCGAGCGGCAGGACAGGAAGCGCGUGCUCUUACGGUUGGCGAGGGGCGGGCGGGUAAGACAUGCAUAGCAAACUACUAUGUCGGGGAGAAUUACGGAAGACAACUGACACUACUACCGAAUACAUCCAACGGGUGGAAGCAAGAGAGCAUCAGAGUUUGCCUGUCACUAAGAGACGACGCCGGAUUAGCUAGUUGGCGGGGUAAGGGCCCACCAAGGCAACGAUCCGUAGCUGGGCUGAGAGGAUGAUCGGCCACACUGGAACUGAGACACGGUCCAGACUCCUACGGGAGGCAGCAGUGGGGAAUCUUCCACAAUGGGCGCAAGCCUGACCCAGCCACGCCGCGUGGGUGAUGAAGGUCUUCGGGUUGUAAAGCUCUGUUGUUGGGAAAGAACAGAAGCGGAUGAAUCUCCGGCCGUUCUGACGGUACCUAAAGAGAAAGCCCCGGCUAACUUCGUG